CCUACGGGUGGCAGCAGUGAGGAAUAUUGCACAAUGGGCGAAACCCUGAUGCAGCCACGCCGCGUGAGGGAAGAAGGAUCUCGGUAUGUUAAGCUCCUUUAGCAGGGGAGCAAAUGCCGGUACCUGAUUAAGAAGCCCCGUAUCACUACGUGCCAGCACCGGAGGCAACACGGAGGGAGCAACCGUAAUCCGGAUUUACUGGGGGUUAAGGGAGCUUAGUGGGUUAUGCAAGUCAGAAGUGAAAGUCCGGGGCUCAACUCCGGGACUGCUGUUGAAACUGUGUGACUGGAGUGAAGGAGAGGUAAGCGGAAUGCGUGGUGUAGCGGUGAAAUGCGUAGAUAUCAGGCAGAACACCAGUGGCGAAGGCAGCUUACUGGACUGUAACUGACGUUGAGGCACGAAAGCGUGGGGAGCAAACAGGAUUAGAUACCCGGGUAGUC
rnacentral:rRNA from 1 species